GACGAACGCUGGCGGCGUGCUUAACACAUGCAAGUCGAGCGGUAAGGCCCUUUCGGGGGUACGACGAGCGGCGAACGGGUGAGUAACACGUGGGUGACCUGCCCUCAGCUCUGGGAUAAGCCUGGGAAACCGGGUACUAAUACCGGAUAUGACUCCAUGACGCAUGUUGUGGGGUGGAAAGCCUUGUGCGGCUGAGGAUGGGCCCGCGGCCUAUCAGCUUGUUGGUGGGGUGANGGCCUACCAAGGCGACGACGGGUAGCCGGCCUGAGAGGGCGACCGGCCACACUGGGACUGAGACACGGGCCCAGACUCCUACGGGAGGCAGCAGUGGGGAAUCUUGCGCAAUGGGCGAAAGCCUGACGCAGCGACGCCGCGUGAGGGAUGACGGCCU
rnacentral:rRNA from 1 species